UCUUCCCUUCCCCUCCCUCUCUCUCUUUCUCCCGACCUCUCCAGAAACGGGUAGGGCAGCGGCGCCGCCAGCCCCGGCCGAUGCCUGUCCCCCGACGUGGCGGCGACCCUCCUCCUCGUCCACCAUCCUCUGUGUAGGAUCCUCUACCCAUCUCCAUCUUUAAUCUCCGGUUUCGCUCCUUCUCCCGCUCUCCUCGUGCAGGUUGGGCGACCAUGACAGCGGCGGUGCUCCACGUGGCGGUGACCGGUGCUCGGCACGGAGGUUGCCGCCCUACUCCUUCCCUCCCUCUCCCCCCUCCCUUCCUCCCUCCCUCCCCCUCGCAUGGCAGCCGUUGCGCCGAAACCCUAUCUGCCAUUUGAGCGUGUUGCCAAGCGUCCACGCCAUCCACAUCUCCCUUCCUUGUCUAAUGCUUCAUAUCUUCCUGAUGCUUUGGUUAACUCUGAGAACCAAUGAGAUUUCGAGAUGCAGGUUCUAGCCUUAAAAAUCAGGAAAAAAAUCCUCCGAUGGUGCAGUGGAAAAAAAUUCUAGCGAUGGAGCACAAUUUCAUAGCAGCAAAGUGAAGACGUGAAACCCAAGUGCCUUUUGUGUUAGAGCAGAUGAAGAAAAACUGAAGAGAGUUUCGAACCUGCCAAAUUUCUCCUUGCUCCUCCUGACCUCCUUAUGCUACUGUUGCUUCAUGAACCUCCAAAGGUGAAAAAUUCUUCUACCAGAAUAUGUAAAAACAGGUAUGUGCAUUAUCACUUAAUUGCAGUAUGAGAACAAGUAUGUGCAUUAUCACUUAAAUGCACUAAACAGGUAUGUGCAUUAUUACCGAAUAGCUGGAUUGUUGGUGCUCCCUCCCUCUCUCCCUUACCCCCUCUCACCCUCUCUCCUUGGAGCUUCACCUUUGGCCAUGAAUCGAUUUUUUAAAAAUAUUUUCUCAAACCAGCCACAUUUGCUGCCAACCAUGAGCUAAUUUGUGUUUUGCUAUUUUUAGAUAAAAAUGAUUCCAGGUUUACACACAAAAAAAUGGAUACCUCAUUUAUUUUUGCGCACCCAAAGUGAUUUGAUGUUUAGCAAACUGAAAUUUGGGGGUGGUUGAUGGAGGUUCGGCUCGCAUCUCUUUUUUUUUUUUUUUGGCUAUGUCAUCUGCCACAUGCAGGCUUUCUUUUUCAAAAGUCUCAUUUCCAACCUUAUUUGUAUAUUGUCAGGUUUGUGCUUUUUUAUAAUCAUUUGCUUAUUUUAGAUGAUAAACCAUAGUUUAUGCAUUUUAAAUAAAGCAUAACACGGCAAACUGUUUUUCUAUUCAUUGUCGUCAAUUUUGACAUCACCUGUGUUUUUCCCUGUGCUCAACAACAACAUAUGAAAGGAGCCUAAUAUUUUCUGGUUAUAUCUUGAGGCCAUGGGUAUUGAAGAAUUGACAAUUAUUAAAUGUAUGUACUGCACAAAAACAAUUAAUAGGUGUCCUCUGCAUACUUACUCUAAGCAUAUGUUGUAAUUAAUGAGAGAAAGGAGAAAGUGGGCCUACCUCUCUACCCAGAUUGUUGACAUCAGAAGGUUUUUUAUGAAAGAUAUUUGUGUUGACAUUGUCCAUAUGUUUUUAAAAUUUCACUGUGCCUAAUAUAUUUAUGAGACCUGUUUUUUCUUUUCAUCCUUAUGAGUUCUGAUUUUGAACUGCUCAAAUCAGGAGUUUUCGGAUCAUGCUUUUUCCAUUCUAAAUUUUCUUCUCUCCAUGGUACAGUCAAUAGGUCUGGACCCAUAAAAUUCUCUUGGUUUCGACAUUGACGAUGGAGAAAUAAUGGGAGGAAAGACAACAACAUGUGACCAUUGAUGGUGAUUUCUUGUUUAAUCCAACCACUUCGAUUUUCUUUUUGCACACAUGAUAACCUGGUGCAUCUGGAUUUAACUUUUGCUUCAUUUUGGAGUCCACCGGCCCAUGUUCCUCUCGCUCGUGUCUGCUGUGUCAUGCGUGCUGCUCGGAGGUUGCAUCAUAAGAAUUUUAUUUGUGCACAAUAAUGUCUAUAUGUGUUUUCCCAUGUUUUUUAUUUUUAAAGUUUGCAUUUGUUGUAGUUUAAGGACCACGCACAAAAACACUGCAAUAUUCCCUAUGUCCAUUCACUAAUACAUUUGCUCCUCUAAUUAUUUACUCCUCAAAUUUAUCUAUCACGCCCAAUAAAAGGAUAAUUAUGUGAAAUGUUAUGGCGUCCUAUAAAAGAUAAUGGAGGAAGUAUCUUACAUGUGCUUCUUAUGUUUUUAGGCUUCAGCCUCAUUUCCCAUUGCAUUAUUGGUAUGUAUAUAUUUUUUGUCAUCCUUGCUGAAACAACAUCAUAUUUCUAUUGUAUGCACAUAUGGAAUAAAUCAACGCUGGUAGUACUGCACUAUCCUGGUAAGCUCCUCAAAGCAAUCAAAAUCUACAGAAACUUUUUUACCUAUUUAUUUUUGAAUACGCUUCCAUGUAUAUAUACUAUAGUUUAGAUAGUUUUCCACUAAAGGCUACUCCUGAUAUUCUCAGAUACUUGAUAAGACUAACCUAGAGACAUUGGAGAUUACAAAGGAAGAACUUUUUGCAAGUCUCAAAGGUGUUUAUCAUGGUUCUGUUUACAUAGGUUUGUUUUUAAUUUACACCUCCCAUUUUACCUUUGAUAUGUCAAGCUAUAGUUCACUUCAAAACUUUAUAUUGUUUUGCUUGUUUUGGUGUCAUUCAUAUAUGUAUGCAUUUCCUCCGGUGAAUGCACUUCAAAACUGCCUUAGCAUCUGUUUAUAUGUGUUCCUAGCAACCUUAUGAAUCAGAGUUGUUCUAUAUUAUA